rnacentral:lncRNA from 1 species
GUAAUAGGAGGAGUUAUAGAGAGAGGUUAUAUGGAGUAAUAGGAGGAGUUAUAGGGAGAGGUUAUAUGGAGUAAUAGGAGGAGUUAUAGAGAGAGGUUAUAUGGAGUAAUAGGAGGAGUUAUAGAGAGAGGUUAUAUGGAGUAAUAGGAGAUGUUAUAGAGAGAGGUUAUAUAGAGUAAUAGGAGGAGUUAUGGGGAGAGGUUAUAUGGAGUAAUAGGAGGAGUUAUAGAGAGAGGUUAUAUGGAG